AGAUUAAGUUAUUAAGGGCGCACGGUGGAUGCCUUGGCACUAGAAGCCGAUGAAGGACGUUACUAACGACGAUAUGCUUUGGGGAGCUGUAAGUAAGCUUUGAUCCAGAGAUUUCCGAAUGGGGAAACCCAGCAUGAGUUAUGUCAUGUUAUCGAUAUGUGAAUACAUAGCAUAUCAGAAGGCACACCCGGAGAACUGAAACAUCUUAGUACCCGGAGGAAGAGAAAGAAAAUUCGAUUCCCUUAGUAGCGGCGAGCGAAACGGGAAGAGCCCAAACCAACAAGCUUGCUUGUUGGGGUUGUAGGACACUCUAUACGGAGUUA
rnacentral:rRNA from 1 species